GGCUUCGUGGUAUAGUGGUAAUAUACUCGCUUCGGGGAAAGCCCCCUUAAUCCAUAGGGUUAUUGUGAGUGGUCCCGGGUUCGAUCCCCGGCGAAGCCC